CUCUACACCACACCAGAGAGAGAGAGAGAGAGGUAUAAAGGGUCCAAAGAAGAAGAGAGCACUCACCACUCACCUACCUUCCCUUCCUUUGUUUGUCUUUCUCACAUUUUCAAUUGUCAAAUUCUUUAUCCAUAAAUCCAAACACACUAACACAGGAAAAGAACCUUAUUCCUAUCCACAAAACAAUGGGAACUGGUGCAUCCAAGGACUCAGAUGAAGGAAGCAAGGAAGAGAGUGAUGGCCUUGAAGAAGCUGGUCGCCAACUCUAUGUCUCUCUCAAGAUGGAGAAUCGAAAACUCACUGGUGACCUCGUUCCUCACGUUUAUGGCUCUGUUCCUCUUAUUGGCUCUUGGGAUCCUUCCAAAGCUCUUUCUAUGGAACGGGAAUCAGUGUCAAUGUGGGAACUUAGCUUUGUCAUUCCACCUAAUCAUGAAACUUUGGAUUUCAAAUUCCUGUUGAAACCUAAGCACAGCAAUGCACCUUGUUUUGUUGAGGAGGGGCCGAGCCGCCUACUAGUUGGGGGAGCAUUGCAGGAGGAUGCCAGGCUUGCGUUAUUUAGGAUUGAUAGUGGCGAGGUUCUCGAGUAUCAAGUAUUUGUUAAAGCGGACAGGGUUUCUCCCUUUGACCUUGCAGCUAGUUGGAGGGCUUAUCAGGACAAUUUUCGACCUUCAUCUGUGCGAUGGAUCCCUGACGUUAGCAUAAAUUCAGCACCUCAGACUGGUGGUGAGAAUGGUUCUUCUGUGGGUUUGGAGCUUGAUCUUGAGCAUUAUGUUGUCCCAACUCCUUCAACUUCUGCAAAUUCAGCCCAUGUAUAUGCAGCUAACAUGACAGAGAAUCCAAGGUCACUAAUUAGUGGGUCUGGCAGCAGUUCAUAUCCCGUCAAGGAGAUGGAGGUUAUUGUGCCCGAUCCAUCAAAGAUGUUUCAAAGUUCUGGAAUGGUUGAAUCCAAGUCAGUUGGAACAUUUUCACCUCUGCAAAGGCAAGAGACACAGAGGGGACUUUUUGUUGAUAGAGGUGUUGGAUCUCCUAGACUUGUAAAAUCUUCUAGUUCAAAUAUUUUCUCUACUGAUCUCAAUUUGUAUCAUGAUACCAAGAAUUCAAUGCCCGCUGCUGCUGGAGCUGUUGCUGCAGCAGCUGUUGCUGAUCAGAUGCUGGGUCCCAAGGAAGAUAGACAUUUGGCAAUUAUCCUGGUGGGUCUGCCAGCCCGAGGUAAAACCUUCACUGCUGCUAAACUUACAAGAUAUCUUCGCUGGUUAGGUCAUAAUACCAAACACUUCAAUGUUGGCAAGUAUCGUCGCCUUAAGCAUGGAGCUAAUCAGUCUGCUGAUUUCUUUCGAGCUGACAAUCCUGAGGGUGUCGAGGCACGCAAUGAGGUAGCAGCACUGGCAUUUGAAGAUAUGAUAUCUUGGAUGCAAGAAGGUGGCCAGGUUGGGAUAUUUGAUGCCACAAACAGUAGCAAGAAAAGAAGAAACAUGCUAAUGAAAUUGGCUGAAGGAAGAUGCAAGAUUAUCUUCCUGGAAACAAUAUGCAAUGAUGUAAAUAUAAUUGAAAGGAAUAUUCGUCUUAAAAUUCAGCAAAGUCCUGAUUAUGCAGAAGAGCCAGAUUUUGAGGCUGGAUUGCAAGACUUUAAAACUCGCCUAGCCAAUUAUGAGAAGGUUUAUGAGACAGUAGAAGAAGGAUCUUACAUAAAAAUGAUUGAUAUGGUCAGUGGACAUGGUGGACAAAUACAAGUGAACAAUAUCAGUGGCUACCUUCCCGGACGAAUUGUCUUUUUCUUGGUAAAUACACAUCUUACACCACGCCCAAUAUUGCUUACUCGACAUGGGGAAAGUCAGGAUAAUGUGAGAGGCAGAAUUGGAGGGGAUACUGCAAUAAGUGAGGCUGGAGAGCUUUAUGCAAAGAAGCUUGCUAACUUUGUUGGAAAGCGUCUUAAAUCAGAACGGGCUGCUUCUGUAAGCUUUAUCAAUUGUAUAGAUUCAAUCACUGCAAUUUUCCUUGGAACCCAAUGUUUACACAAAGUUGAUGCUGGAAUACUAAUAUUCUUCUAUGCAUGUGCCUAGGCUUAUAAAAAUUUGGUUUAUGACUGAGCUUAAUUGCGUCGAAUGAUCUAUGUAAUUGACUUCAUAGGAUAAGGCUUAUUUGUUACAUGUGCCUAGGCUGUUGUCUGCUAAAUCCGCAUAUAACAUUUUAUGUGGAACUGUGAUAUAUUGCCAGUGUCAUUGACGAUAUAUCACUUAAUUAUAGUGAAUCUGCUAAACAAUGUUGUGAGAAAUAGAAUCAGUUAUAAGUCAAUCAGUGAUUGACACUACUCAUUCAAUAAAUUUCAGUGGUUUAGUAAGAGAUUGAAGACUAAAACUUGGAGAAACCAUCAGAAAGAACUUAGUUUAAAAUGGCCUCUCUAAACACCUGGUUCUUGGCAUUAAAUGAUGUUGUUCGGUCCAUGACUCUCUAUAGUUGAUCUGCAGCUAGUGUGAAAAGUCUUUUGUUGUGGUUGGAGUCACUAUUUUUGGGAGGAGGGUGGGGAUGGGGGGUUAUGAUUUAUGAAUUGUGUUAAAAAAUGAGGGUAAUAGUUGUGCUGUUAAUGCAGGAAAGUUUUUUUAUUGUCUCUUGUUAGAAAAGGUUGUUGGAACUUGGGGGGGAGAGAGAGAGAGAGAAAAGAGAUACAUGUGCUGAAAACUGAUGUCUCAAGUCUCAACUACAACACAGACUCGAUAUUUUAUUAGGAAUAUGAUAAAUUCCAAAUGACAACUCUUCUAAUUACAAUAUUUACAUAGUACACUAAACCUAGACAUAAUAAUACGUUUCUGAUGAAGGCAAUACAAAGAGAGUUGCCAAACUUGCCAUGCAUUUGAAAGUAAAGAAGAUAAAUCCUAGGUUCUAUUCCUUCCUCGAAGUAAUACACAAGACAAGAUUCGUCUAUUUAAUCUAAAUAUGACUCAAUAAAUUCGAAGGCACGUCUUUGUGCUGAUGACAUUUGUGAUGGUUUAAAUUCAACAAGAGUGGAGAAGGAACAGAAAGGGUUUUAUCCAGGUUUGGACCUCAGGUAUCAUCAUAAAAGUGCAGGUUCCCUCCCAAGCAAGUUAAACCUUUUAAGAUAUGGACUAGUACGCUGCAGCGCACAAUUCUGACAGCAAGUCCAAUUGUUGGAUUUCCCAAGAUACAAUGGCGUGCACUAGAUGAGAUAAAUGCUGGGGUUUGUGAUGGCAUGACAUACGAAGAAAUCAAGAAAAACAUGCCAGGGGAGUAUGAAUCCCGCAAGAAGGACAAACUUAGGUAUCGUUAUCCUCGUGGGGAGUCAUACUUGGAUGUUAUUCAAAGGUUAGAACCUGUAAUUAUAGAGCUCGAGCGACAGCGAGCACCUGUUGUUGUGAUAUCUCACCAGGCAGUUUUGAGGGCACUAUAUGCUUAUUUUGCUGACAGGCCUUUGAAAGAAAUUCCACAUAUAGAGGUUCCUCUUCAUACAAUAAUAGAGAUUCAAAUGGGAGUUACGGGUGUCCAAGAGAAAAGAUAUAAACUAAUGGACUAAAAUGAAUUGAAGAAAAGUUCUCUUGCUAAUAUUAUGGCCAACAAACCAAUUAUCCAUUCUUCUGAUUUCAAUUUAUUAGCAAAAUGUAAUAUUCCCGUGAAUGGACUACAUUGUUUAAAAUUACCAUAACGAAGGGAAGUUAUACUCUUCAAUAUUAUUUCAUUUCAAAUGUAAAUGACUUCUCUUUU